AGCGUACACGGUGGAUGCCCUGGCAGUCAGAGGCGAUGAAGGACGUGCUAAUCUGCGAAAAGCGUCGGUAAGGUGAUAUGAACCGUUACAGCCGGCGAUGUCCGAAUGGGGAAACCCAGUGCAAUUCGUUGCACUAUCGUUAACUGAAUACAUAGGUUAACGAGGCGAACCGGGGGAACUGAAACAUCUAAGUACCCCGAGGAAAAGAAAUCAACCGAGAUUCCCCCAGUAGCGGCGAGCGAACGGGGAGCAGCCCAGAGUCUGAAUCAGCUUGUGUGUUAGUGGAACGGUCUGGAAAGUCCGACGGUACAGGGUGAUAGUCCCGUACACCAAAAUGCACAGGUUGUGAACUCGAAGAGUAGGGCGGGACACGUGGUAUCCUGUCUGAAUAUGGGGGGACCAUCCUCCAAGGCUAAAUACUCCUGACUGACCGAUAGUGAACCAGUACCGUGAGGGAAAGGCGAAAAGAACCCCGGCGAGGGGAGUGAAAAAGAACCUGAAACCGUGUACGUACAAGCAGUGGGAGCACCUUCGGGUGUGACUGCGUACCUUUUGUAUAAUGGGUCAGCGACUUAUAUUCUGUAGCAAGGUUAACCGUAUAGGGGAGCCGCAGGGAAACCGAGUCUUAACUGGGCGUUAAGUUGCAGGGUAUAGACCCGAAACCCGGUGAUCUAGCCAUGGGCAGGUUGAAGGUUGGGUAACACUAACUGGAGGACCGAACCGACUAAUGUUGAAAAAUUAGCGGAUGACUUGUGGCUGGGGGUGAAAGGCCAAUCAAACCGGGAGAUAGCUGGUUCUCCCCGAAAGCUAUUUAGGUAGCGCCUCGUGAACUCAUCUUCGGGGGUAGAGCACUGUUUCGGCUAGGGGGUCAUCCCGACUUACCAACCCGAUGCAAACUACGAAUACCGAAGAAUGUUAUCACGGGAGACACACGGCGGGUGCUAACGUCCGUCGUGAAGAGGGAAACAACCCAGACCGCCAGCUAAGGUCCCAAAGUCAUGGUUAAGUGGGAAACGAUGUGGGAAGGCACAGACAGCCAGGAUGUUGGCUUAGAAGCAGCCAUCAUUUAAAGAAAGCGUAAUAGCUCACUGGUCGAGUCGGCCUGCGCGGAAGAUGUAACGGGGCUAAACUGUGCACCGAAGCUGCGGCAGCGACACUAUGUGUUGUUGGGUAGGGGAGCGUUCUGUAAGCCUGCGAAGGUGGCCUGUGAGGGUUGCUGGAGGUAUCAGAAGUGCGAAUGCUGACAUAAGUAACGAUAAUGCGGGUGAAAAGCCCGCACGCCGGAAGACCAAGGGUUCCUGUCCAACGUUAAUCGGGGCAGGGUGAGUCGACCCCUAAGGCGAGGCCGAAAGGCGUAGUCGAUGGGAAACAGGUUAAUAUUCCUGUACUUGGUGUUACUGCGAAGGGGGGACGGAGAAGGCUAUGUUAGCCGGGCGACGGUUGUCCCGGUUUAAGCAUGUAGGCGGAGGUUCCAGGUAAAUCCGGUACCUUUUAACGCUGAGGUGUGAUGACGAGGCACUACGGUGCUGAAGUAACAAAUGCCCUGCUUCCAGGAAAAGCCUCUAAGCAUCAGGUAACAUUAAAUCGUACCCCAAACCGACACAGGUGGUCAGGUAGAGAAUACCAAGGCGCUUGAGAGAACUCGGGUGAAGGAACUAGGCAAAAUGGUGCCGUAACUUCGGGAGAAGGCACGCUGAUAUGUAGGUGAAGCCCCUGCGGGUGGAGCUGAAAUCAGUCGAAGAUACCAGCUGGCUGCAACUGUUUAUUAAAAACACAGCACUGUGCAAACACGAAAGUGGACGUAUACGGUGUGACGCCUGCCCGGUGCCGGAAGGUUAAUUGAUGGGGUUAUCCGUAAGGAGAAGCUCUUGAUCGAAGCCCCGGUAAACGGCGGCCGUAACUAUAACGGUCCUAAGGUAGCGAAAUUCCUUGUCGGGUAAGUUCCGACCUGCACGAAUGGCGUAAUGAUGGCCAGGCUGUCUCCACCCGAGACUCAGUGAAAUUGAACUCGCUGUGAAGAUGCAGUGUACCCGCGGCAAGACGGAAAGACCCCGUGAACCUUUACUAUAGCUUGACACUGAACAUUGAGCCUUGAUGUGUAGGAUAGGUGGGAGGCUUUGAAGCGUGGACGCCAGUCUGCGUGGAGCCAACCUUGAAAUACCACCCUUUAAUGUUUGAUGUUCUAACGUUGGCCCCUGACCGGGGUUGCGGACAGUGUCUGGUGGGUAGUUUGACUGGGGCGGUCUCCUCCCAAAGAGUAACGGAGGAGCACGAAGGUUAGCUAAUCCUGGUCGGACAUCAGGAGGUUAGUGCAAUGGCAUAAGCUAGCUUGACUGCGAGCGUGACGGCGCGAGCAGGUGCGAAAGCAGGUCAUAGUGAUCCGGUGGUUCUGAAUGGAAGGGCCAUCGCUCAACGGAUAAAAGGUACUCCGGGGAUAACAGGCUGAUACCGCCCAAGAGUUCAUAUCGACGGCGGUGUUUGGCACCUCGAUGUCGGCUCAUCACAUCCUGGGGCUGAAGUAGGUCCCAAGGGUAUGGCUGUUCGCCAUUUAAAGUGGUACGCGAGCUGGGUUUAGAACGUCGUGAGACAGUUCGGUCCCUAUCUGCCGUGGGCGCUGGAGAAUUGAGGGGGGCUGCUCCUAGUACGAGAGGACCGGAGUGGACGCAUCACUGGUGUUCGGGUUGUCAUGCCAAUGGCAUUGCCCGGUAGCUAAAUGCGGAAGAGAUAAGUGCUGAAAGCAUCUAAGCACGAAACUUGCCCCGAGAUGAGUUCU
rnacentral:rRNA from 1 species